AACGACUCUCGGCAACGGAUAUCUCGGCUCUCGCAUCGAUGAAGAACGUAGCGAAAUGCGAUACUUGGUGUGAAUUGCAGAAUCCCGCGAACCAUCGAGUCUUUGAACGCAAGUUGCGCCCGAAGCCGUUUGGCCGAGGGCACGUCUGCCUGGGCGUCACGC
rnacentral:rRNA from 1 species